UACAGAGGGAGCAAGCGUUAUCCGGAAUGAUUGGGCGUAAAGCGUCUGUAGGUGGUUUAGCAAGUCUACUGUCAAAUACCAAGGCUCAACCUUGGGCAGGCAGUAGAGUACUUUUAGACUAGAGUGUGGUAGAGGUAGAGGGAAUCCCUAGCGUAACAGUGAAAUGUGUAGAUUUUAGGGAGAACACCAGCGGCGAAGGCGCUCUACUGGGCCAAGACUGACACUGAGAGACGAAAGCUAGGGGAGCGAAUAGG
rnacentral:rRNA from 1 species